rnacentral:lncRNA from 1 species
UGUCACCAUGGAUACGCCUGAAAAACCCCAGUGAUCUCACAGCUCUAUGUCCAUCUCCUUUAAGAGUGGCUGAGAAUUCCAAGGUAUAAUUACUGCUCUUUGAGAGGCUUCUGUCCUGCUCCCCACGGGGACUCUGCUGGGCAACUUCCUAAACUGGCCUCCUUCCCAGGGCAGGCCUUCCUCAGUGUGG